GAUGAACGCUGGCGGCGUGCCUAAUACAUGCAAGUCGAGCGAACAGAUGAGGAGCUUGCUCCUCUGACUUUAGCGGCGGACGGGUGAGUAACACGUGGAUAACCUACCUAUAAGAAUGUGAUGACUUUGGGAAACCGGAUCUAAUACCGGAUAAUAUAUUGAACCGCAUGGUUCAAUAGUUAAAGACGGUUUUGCUGUCACUUAUAGAUGGAUCCGCGCCGGAUUAGCUAGUUGGUAAGGUAACGGCUUACCAAGGCAACGAUGCGUAGCCGACCUGAGAGGGUGAUAGGCCACACUGGAACUGAAGCACGGUCCAGACUCCUACGAGAGGCAGGCGUAGGGAAUCUCUAGGAAUGGGAGAAAGCGGGACGGAGCAACGCCGCGUGAGUGAUGAAGGCAUUCGGAUCGUAAAACUCUGUUAUUAGGGAAGAACAAAUGUGUAAGUAACUAUGCACGUUUUGAAGGUACCUAAUCAGAUAGCCACGGCUAAAUACGUG
rnacentral:rRNA from 1 species